CCAGCUGCGUGAAUUAAUGUGAAUUGCAGGACACAUUGAACAUCGAUAUCUUGAACGCACAUUGCGGCUUUGGGUCACUCCCGAAGCCACGCCUGUCUGAGGGUCGGUGAAACAUCAAUCGCAAAAAGAAUUUUUUGCGCCUUGGGUCGUCGCAGUGACUUUGUCUCACUUCGUCGCCUUAAAUGCAGACCGGUGUCUCCGACCGACUGUCUCUGUGCGGAGGGACGCAUGCCUGGAGAAAUACUCUUUCUCGCGGUUCCCUUUUUCCGCAAUGCUCUGGUAAUGCAGGGACGGGUCGGUGGAGAAACCGUUACGGAGGGUUUAGCACACAACCAAUCUCAUCUCCGACCUCAGAUCAGACGAGAGUACCCGCUGAAUUUAAGCAUAUCACUAAGCGGAGGAAAAGAAACUAACCAGGAUUCCCCUAGUAAUGGA
rnacentral:rRNA from 1 species